AUCUUGUUGGAGAUUUCUGCAUACCUGAGGCCUUCUAAAGGUGGUGAUCUCUCAUAGUUUUCACAAGUUGACACACAAUAUAUUGCUGUGCAGAUGGGACAAAUAAUCAUGGAAUCUUCUGCUGUGGAACAGAGAGAAUAAACCAGAUGGGGAAUGAAGGUGGGAAAAUUCAGGGAUACCAUGGCAAUGGCCCAUCCAGAAAGGCCCAGGUAAUAUCAAG
rnacentral:lncRNA from 1 species